AUAAAAUCAAACUCAGAGCUCAAGCAAAUUUUUACCUAGAAAUGCAACAAUUCCACGAUCAGAGGAAGAAGGAGCCAUUGCUAGCUUCAUUUGAUCGGUGCACAAUUUCUCUUAUCUUGGAAUUGCUAGCUUAAUAAGGUAUGUUUCUAUUAUGCAGUUGUGGUGUUGCUGUCAGUUGUGGGUUUUGGAAAUGUAGUGUGGGCGUCUUCUUGGGGUCUUUGCUUCGGCUCCAGCUUUCGUUUUCUUCAAUCUUCUUUUCGUUUGGGGUGUUUAUUUCGUUAUCGUUAUACAAGGUGGGUCUUAUUUUCCAUGGCUAGUAGAUUUUUUUUUUUGUUUUUUUAUUCAAAACUGGGUUGUUUUCUAAAAUCUAAAUUAAGGAAUUGCAUUUCACUAUUUUGAGCCGGUGUUUACAGCAUGCGGCACUUGCAAAUAAUAUUGUCAAAAGGGUUUCUGAAAAAUGUUCGAAGUAAAGAUUUAUGGGACUGCAUAUUACAGCUAAUGCUUAGGUAUGACCAGUAACUAAAGGUGAAUUUUGUUCAUGAUUGGAAGGCUGGCAACUUAUGCUUCAAAGGCUACAGUCAAUGACUCUGGUUGGGGCUAUAUGAACUGAUAUUGUUUUUCACAUCAUAAGAAUCUGCAUGUUAAGUGAAUAAUUGGAAGCUGUUUUAUUGGUCAAUAGUGACUUUCAAGUUUUAACUGCUCUUCAGCCAUUCCAUAUUUCAUUGAUGCUGUGUUCAAUAGAGAGGUUGUCAUGCUCAUCAUUGGUGUAUGUAGU
rnacentral:misc_RNA from 1 species